rnacentral:rRNA from 1 species
GACAGAGGUGCCGAGCGUUAGGCGGAAUCACUGGGCUUAAAGCGUGUGUAGGCGGGCCGUUAAGUGUCUUGUGAAAUCCCCCGGCUCAACCGGGGAAUUGCUGGGCAUACUGGCGGUCUUGAGCAAUCUAGGGGCAGAUGGAACAAGUGGUGGAGCGGUGAAAUGCGUAGAUAUCAGGAGGAACACCAAUGGCGAAGGCAGCUCGCUGGGACGUGACUGACGCUGAGACGCGAAAGCGUGGGGAGCAAACAGG